CCACGGGCGCGGACACGCGCGGACACACACGUGCGGGACACGCCCUCCCCCGACGGCGGAGCUCGCGGCUAGGUUGUUCCAGGACCCUUGGAGACCCAAGGAAAGCCGUGCUGACCGAAAGCAAGACAAAUGACUCGCAGAGAAAAACGAUGGUGGAACCCAGGGCAAUUAGAGGUAAAACAAACACCC
rnacentral:lncRNA from 1 species